GGACCCACAAGUUAAUACAUCCAACGGCUAUAAGCUUCAGCUUCCUCACGAACACUCCAUUCUUCUUCUAGGCUGUCAUGUCCAGAAACCCAAAAAUUACUUAUCACCUCAGUUGAUCCGUCACUGUUCAAGUCUAAACUUGUUUUCACUUUGGCUUCAGUGUCUGCCUGCCAAUAGCAAGAUCUCAACUAGCAGAUCCAAAUCACUAAAACCCA
rnacentral:misc_RNA from 1 species